GAUGAACGCUGGCGGCGUGCCUAAUACAUGCGAGUCGAGCGAACAGACGAGAGUGCUUGCCCUCUCUGACGUUAGCGGCGGACGGGUGAGUAACACGUGGGUAACCUACCUAUAAGACUGGGAUAACUUCGGGAAACCGGAGCUAAUACCGGAUAAUAUUUAGCUUCGCAUGAAGCAAUAGUGAAAGACGGUUCUGCUGUCACUUAUAGAUGGACCCGCGGUGUAUUAGCUAGUUGGUGAGGUAACGGCUCACCAAGGCAACGAUACAUAGCCGACCUGAGAGGGUGAUCGGCCACACUGGGACUGAGACACGGCCCAGACUCCUACGGGAGGCAGCAGUAGGGAAUCUUCCGCAAUGGACGAAAGUCUGACGGAGCAAUGCCGCGUGAGUGAAGAAGGUUUUCGGAUCGUAAAACUCUGUUGUAAGGGAAGAACAAGUACGUUAGUAACUGAACGUACCUUGACGGUACCUUACCAGAAAGCCACGGCUAACUACGUG
rnacentral:rRNA from 1 species